GAUGAAGAACGUAGCGAAAUGCGAUACUUGGUGUGAAUUGCAGAAUCCCGUGAACCAUCGAGUCUUUGAACGCAAGUUGCGCCCGAAGCCACUAGGCCGAGGGCACGCCUGCCUGGGCGUCACACGUCGUUGCCCCCCCAUCUACUCCUUCGGGAUUGCGGGGGGGCGGAUGAUGGCCUCCCGUGCGCCUAGCCGCGCGGUUGGCAUAAAUACCAAGUCCUCGGCGACGCACGCCACGACAAUCGGUGGUUGCGAAACCUCGGUUGCCCGUCGUGUGCGUUCGUCGCGCAUCGAGGGCUCGAAAAAAUGCUCGGCUCCGGCUCGGCUUUCAACGCGACCCCAGGUCAGGCGGGGUUACCCGCUGAAUUUAAGCAUAUCAAUAAGCGGAGGA
rnacentral:misc_RNA from 1 species